rnacentral:rRNA from 2 species
UAGGGAAUCUUCCACAAUGGACGCAAGUCUGAUGGAGCAACGCCGCGUGAGUGAAGAAGGUUUUCGGAUCGUAAAGCUCUGUUGUUGGUGAAGAAGGAUAGAGGCAGUAACUGGUCUUUAUUUGACGGUAAUCAACCAGAAAGUCACGGCUAACUACGUGCCAGCAGCCGCGGUAAUACGUAGGUGGCAAGCGUUGUCCGGAUUUAUUGGGCGUAAAGCGAGUGCAGGCGGAAUGAUAAGUCUGAUGUGAAAGCCCACGGCUCAACCGUGGAACUGCAUCGGAAACUGUCAUUCUUGAGUGCAGAAGAGGAGAGUGGAAUUCCAUGUGUAGCGGUGGAAUGCGUAGAUAUAUGGAAGAACACCAGUGGCGAAGGCGGCUCUCUGGUCUGCAACUGACGCUGAGGCUCGAAAGCAUGGGUAGCGAACAGG